rnacentral:rRNA from 1 species
CACGAACCGUACGAACGUUAUUCGGAAUUACUGGGCGUAAAGUGUGCGCAGGCGGCCGAGCAAGUCGAGUGUGAAAGCCCCGAGCUUAACUUGGGAACUGCGCUCGAAACUACUUGGCUAGAGUGUGGCAGAGGGAGGUGGAAUUCCACGUGUAGCGGUGAAAUGCGUAGAGAUGUGGAGGAACACCUGUGGCGAAGGCGCCUUGCUGGCCGAUUUCUGACGCUGAGGCGCGAAAGCGUGGGGAGCAAACAGG